UACGUAGGGUGCGAGCGUUAAUCGGAAUUACUGGGCGUAAAGCGUGCGCAGGCGGUUUUGUAAGCCAGAUGUGAAAGCCCCGGGCUUAACCUGGGAAUGGCAUUUGGGACUGCAAGGCUGGAGUUUGGCAGAGGAGACUGGAAUUCCUGGUGUAGCAGUGAAAUGCGUAGAUAUCAGGAGGAAUACCGAUGGCGAAGGCGACUUGCUGGGCCUGCUUUGACACUCAGACGCGAAAGCAUGGGGAGCGAACGGG
rnacentral:rRNA from 1 species